rnacentral:rRNA from 1 species
CGGGGGGGGGGCAAGCGUUGUUCGGAAUUACUGGGCGUAAAGGGCGUGUAGGCGGUCCCGCAAGUCUUUCGUGAAAUCCCACAGCUCAACUGUGGAACUGCGAGGGAAACUGCAGGACUUGAGUCCGGGAGAGGAGAGUGGAAUUCCCAGUGUAGCGGUGAAAUGCGUAGAUAUUGGGAGGAACACCGGUGGCGAAGGCGGCUCUCUGGACCGGUACUGACGCUGAGGCGCGAAAGCUAGGGGAGCAAACGGGAUUAGAUACCCCGGUAGUCCUAGCCUUAAACGAUGAGCACUUGGUGUGGCGGGUAUCGACCCCUGCCGUGCCGAAGCUAACGCAUUAAGUGCUCCGCCUGGGGAGUACGGUCGCAAAGGCUGA